rnacentral:rRNA from 1 species
CACGUAGGGAGCAAGCGUUGUCCGGAUUUAUUGGGCGUAAAGAGCUCGUAGGCGGCUUGUCGCGUCGUCCGUGAAAACCUGCGGCUCAACUGCAGGCUGGCGGUCGAUACGGGCAGACUGGAGUUCGGUAGGGGAGACUGGAAUUCCUGGUGUAGCGGUGAAAUGCGCAGAUAUCAGGAGGAACACCGGUGGCGAAGGCGGGUCUCUGGACAGUUCCUGACGCUGAGGCACGAAGGCCAGGGGAGCAAACGGG